CUAGAGAGUAUCUGUUUAAGAAUGUAGUAGCUAAUUAGGUGUAAUAUGGCCUGGCUUAACAACAUUUGGGAAGAGCUGAAAGAACCUUAUUUGUGAGCAUUUAUAAACAUCUAGGAUGGAAGUGAAUUUAAGGUGAUUCAGUCAAGAUAUCUGGGAGUGUUGGAUGAAAUCAAGAAAGAGCAUUUAAACUGGGAGAAUAGGAGAAUGACAGACCAAAUCCUGCUUCUAGUAACAUUAUUGGAAGCAGAACUAUAUCCAGGCUGUACAAGCAACACAAGAGACCUAAUUUGAAGCCACAGCAGUAGGUAAUUUGGUUCAUCAUUUAGGAGUGUUCUGCAGAUGAGCCUAUUAACUGUUGAGGGGGUGUUACUGGGUUAAAAGGUUAAGGGAAACUGGUGGCAAAAAAGUAACAAAACUCCAGUUUUAAAGAUAUAUAGGUUUUAAAGCACGCUGUGGUUUGAUAAAUCACAUUGUGUGAUUGAUUUCAUUGGUAACUUCAGUAGCACUGAGAACAUUCCUACUUGAAUUAUUUGGUGGUGCCUAGAAAGACUCUUGAAAUUUCUCUUCACUCUCCUGCCAAGAAUUUUCAGUCUUGAAUUCUGUCCUUUCUGGUGCUAUCUACUUCCCCAUUGAUCACACAAUGAAGGCCAAUCACAGUGGACACAUGCCUGCCCAAGCAGUGUGAUUUUCUUCUCCACGGAUUCUUCUGCCCUGACGUAACAGACCUGUCUUCCCAGUUCCUUAUGUGGUGCCGUAUGGACUGACAGUAGUUUGGUUUAACUUGCUUUGGAAAUGAUUUAAAAUUGUGGCCAUUGUUGUGAGGAUGCCCUGAAUUUCCACCUGAACAGCUGAAGGAAAAGAAAACCUCUUCCAAGUAGAAAUAGUCUGUAUCCUCAGUUCUACUGUGGAAAUUAGAAGACAGCAACUAUUUUUAAAGAGGAUGAACUAUUUUGGAGUUUCUCUGAAGAAUUUCUGUGCUAGUUUCUGGUAAAACAAACAAAACAAAAAACUUUCAUUUGGAAAAACAGAGUAAAAGUGGCUCUUACUCUUAAAUGUAUGUCAAAAUUAGCUGGUGCACUACGAUCACUUAAUUAAACAUCUAUUUUCCAAUUUAGAGAUAUACUGCCAGUGGUAUUUAAAGUUAUUGGUUGACCAAAGACUUGCUACCAUCAGCAAACUUCAACCACAGAGUAAUUUCAUAUCCUUCCUAUUAAAAAUAUAAAAAGACACCAAAUAAAAAGUAUAUAAUAUAUCCUAAGGCAAUAUAAACUAUAAUAUGUUAAAUGUCAAAGUAAGAACUGACACGUUUAUACAUUUUUAUUUCUUUUUUAAGUUAAGCUUUUUUAGAAUUCAGCAUUUACUGUAAAGCUAUAACCAGCACCUCCAGGUUGCAUCCAUGUUUUGGUUAACUGGAAUUUAAAUAAAUUAAAUGAAAGCACUCUCAAUUUAUGAAGAUUUCUACCCAGAAUGGGAUUGGAGCAUAACUUGCAGUGCCAUUUUCCCUCAUGUUCAUGCCUUCUGUGUAAGGAGAAAACUUCACUUUUUGAUCAGUCAUUCAAUUGCUUUCUCUAAGAAUGAUGUUCACGUAAAAGGAAACCUCCCCCCCCCCCCCCCCAACCUCAUUUGAUUAAUAAUACAGUUUUUUUACCAGUCACAAAAGCCUCUAGUUCUGAGGUAAAAGGAGAGUAUUGCUUCUGACUGAGGUUUUUCUCCCCUCAUUAGGGUUUCCUAGGAAUUAUGGUCUCCUUUAGAUGUGGUGUUCAAGUGGCUGAUUUCAUAUGUAGGCCACUAUCAUAUCAGGCUCCUGAAUGCUCUCCAUGGUAAAGAUUAUUUUUAAGUGGCCACAUCUUUUUUUCUCUAAGUAUUUAAUGACCUCUUGUCUGGCUUCUUUCUAAGAGCUGAACUCAGAUCCUUAAUUGCCACAGCCACAAAUUACUCUCAUAACUGGUAGCUGAAGAUCGUCACAUCUCAUAUGGACCAGCCAUUUAACCAGCCCCCAGUUAACCGAUGUAAGUAACAUUUGUUUCUUUCUGGGCUGUAUGAGUGCAAGUUUUAAUGUGGAACCUUUUGCAAACUAGCUGAUCAUAUAUUCUAACUCUGAUCAGAACAAAAGUGUUAACAAGACUGUUUACAGUCAGGCUGAGGCACCCAAACAUGGACCAGGAUGGUAAUUACCACUAAAAUAUUUUGGAUUCUCCCAUUUGUAUAUUUUUUAUAUUCAAAAGGCAAACCCUCUUCCCCCUAACUGCAGAGAACUAUAUUUUUAUGAUACUAGGAUGGAAAUUGAAACCUGAUACUAUUUUUAAUUCCUCUUCUUUGCCUAUCAUACUUACACAAGUUUUAUUUACAGCUGCUUAUAAAUGGUGGACCUCAGUGUUAAGUCUUGUUGUACCUUCAUGUAUUAAAUCUAAAACUGAUAAGAAAAGAAUAUGCAUCAAGUCUUUAAGAAUGUCACUUGUUGCCUGUGUAGGAUACUGUAUAUGUUCCUGUCC